CUAGGAGGAAGGACUUUCACUUUUAAUUUUAUGAUACUCCAAAUCAUUUGCAUUUUUUUUUUACAAAAAUUAUGUAUAAUUUUUCUUUUUUUUUUCUUUUUGAGACGGAGUCUCGCUCUGUCCCCCAGGCUGGAGUGCAGUGGUGCGAUCUCGGCUCACUGCAAGCUCCGCCUCCCGGGUUCAAGCGAUUCUCCUACCUCAGCCUCCCGAGUAGUUGGGAUUACAGGCGCGCGCCUCCACGCCCAGCUAAUUUUUGUAUUUUUUAAUUAGAGACAGGGUUUCACCAUGUUGGCCAGGCUGGUCUCGAACUCCUGACCUCGUGAUCCACCCGCCUAAGCCUCCGAAAGAGCUGGGAUUACAGGCGUGAGCCACCG
rnacentral:lncRNA from 1 species